UCGAGCCUCGGUGAAGAAGCUGCAAGAGAUCGAUGCCUUUCUUCAACCUCUCGAUCCGCUAUCCCGCUCUUUCUCUGUUUCCACUCUGCGAUUCCUCUUCUGGUCAUCUCGAGAAGUUCCACCAGCUCCACUCCGGAUCGCUUAGCACGCGAGGUCGAGGAGGGUCCAGACUUCUCUAACCGUGCCCUAACUUUGAAGUCUAGGCGGAGGUCUUUGGAGGUGUCAUCGCGGAGAUGGACAUGGAGCUGGAGCCGCGAACGAAAGCGUUGGCGUACAAGAUUAAGGCGACGUCCCGCGAAUCCCCAGCCCAGAAGGCGGCCAACGUCUUUGACCCGGACCUCCGCACUCACUGGUCCACCGGCACCAACACGAAGGAGUGGAUCCUACUCGAGCUUGACGAACCUUGCCUACUGUCACAUAUAAGAAUCUAUAAUAAAUCUGUUCUUGAAUGGGAAAUUAGUGUUGGAUUGCGUUUUAAGCCUGAGGCAUUUCUAAAAGUUCGUCCACGUUGUGAAGCUCCAAGAAGAGAGAUGGUUUAUCCUAUGAAUUACACACCAUGCCGUUAUGUAAGGAUAUCUUGCUUGCGUGGAAACCCAAUAGCUAUAUUUUUUAUUCAGCUUAUGGGGGUUACUGUUACUGGAUUGGAACCUGAGCUUCAACCUAUUGCUAAUUACUUGAUACCACAUAUUAUAUCACACAAGCAAGAUGCUCAUGAUAUGCAUCUUCAGCUGCUUCAAGAUGUGGCAAAGAACCUGCUGGUUUUUCUUCCGGAGCUGGAGACAGAUCUUACCAAUUUUCCCGAUGCUGCUGAGACGAACAUUCGUUUUUUUGCAAUGCUUGCUGGUCCAUUCUAUCCAAUUCUGCGUCUUUCUAAUGAAAGGAAAGCUUCAAGUGUGUUGCCUUUUUCUUCUGAUUUAGAUGCAUCCAAGAGCAACCCAUCCUCUACUUUAACUGUUUCGUCCAACUUUGAGGCACAACCAAGAAGAUCACGCAGUCCACCCUUCCCUGAACUUGCUUGCAGUUCUGUAGCAUUUCGAUCUGAUGCUGUCAUCAUUCUGUUAAGGAAGGCAUAUAAAGACUCUCAUUUGGGAAUUGUUUGUCGGAGAGCUUCAAUAGCACUACACAGACUUGUAGAAGCAAAUAAUUUACUAGGGGAGUCAGCAUGUACUGAUGACUUGGGUCUGUCUUCUAUAUCUGAUGAAAUUGUUAAAACUGAAGUAACCAGUCAUAUGCAACCUGCUGAUUACUCGAGCUUGUUUGGGGAAGAAUUCAAAUUACCUGAAGAUUAUUGGGAUGCUUCUUAUUUGAAUGUCUUGGAUAUAUCUGCAGUGGAAGAAGGCAUUCUCCAUGUCUUAUUUGGAUGUGCUUCACAACCUCUCCUGUGCUGCAAAUUGGCUGACAGUAAUUCAAAUUUUUGGUCCCUAUUACCACUUAUACAAGCACUGCUUCCAGCACUUCGUCCUCCGAUUAGCCUCCCAGAUCAAGUUGAUGAUAGUUUUUCACAGUGGAAUCAUCCUUCUGUCCAGCAUGCUCUCUCUCAGAUAAUAACAAUGUCAUCAUCAUCAGUAUAUCAUCCUCUUCUUCAUGCUUGUGCGGGCUAUCUGUCUUCAUUCUUAUCAUCUCAUGCAAAGGCAGCAUGUGUAUUGAUUGAUUUAUGCUCUGGACCAUUAUCACCAUGGAUAUCUACAAUUACUGCAAAGGUUGAUCUUGCAAUUGAACUUCUAGAGGACCUCUUGGGUGUUAUUCAAGGUGUUCCACAAUCUGCUGGUCGUGCUCGUGCUGUUUUAAAGUAUAUCUUGCUGGCCUUGUCUGGCCAUAUGGAUGAUGUACUAUCAAAAUAUAAGGAAUUUAAACAUAGGCUUCUAUUUCUUUUGGAGAUGCUAGAACCCUUUCUUGAUCCUGUGAUUACUGGAACAAAGAAUACAACUUUUGAAGAUGCUUCUGAUAUACACUUGGAGAAACAGAAGAACUGUUCUAUUGCACUCAAUGUUAUACGUACUGCAUUACGAAGGCCUGCCAUUCUUCCUUCCGUGGAAUCUGAAUGGAGACGUGGAUCUGUUGCACCAAGUGUACUUCUUUCUGUUCUGGGGCCACACAUGCCAUUACCUUCAGAUAUUGACCUUUGCAAAUGUUCAUUUCCUAAAGUGGCUGAUCAAGAGUCUUUAGCUGUUUCUUCCGACUCUGUGAUCUGUUCUCAUGGGGCUUCUAGCAUAUCCAGUAGUCCGGAUGAAGCAAAGGGAAAGAUUGAUGCAUCUGAAGCUGCUACAAGAAAAGAUGUACUCCAAGAUGCUAACCUGCAGUUUGCUCCUAGAGAUCUGUCAAAAAUUGUUCUGACAAGUGUUCCCAACUAUUUUACUGGGGACUGUAUCAGCUUGAAUUCUGGUUGUGGUGUUUCAGAGGUGAAUAAGAUUUCAAAUAACAACUUUCAGUUGAAUACUGGUUUCUUUGCUGAUUACUUCUAUUCACAAGCAGAUUAUCUACAACUUGUAAACCAUCAAGAUUCGGUAUUUAGGGCUUCCGAAUUUGAACGUUUAGCAGCUGAUUUGUGUUCCCAGCAUGACAUAACCCCAGAAAGCCAUGAAGCUGCAAUAGAUGCCUUACUCUUGGCCGCAGAAUGUUAUGUCAACCCAUUCUUUAUGAUUUCAUAUGGAUGCAAUUCAGAGCUUAUGAAUCAGAUGAAAAUUAUUGGAUCCAAAUUCAAGAAUAAAACUGGAUUAGUGGAGUUUAAUAAAGACCUUAAGAGAUGUAAUGUCAAUCUGGAGACAAUAGCUUAUCUUGAAAGUAAAAGAGAUAUAACAGUUCUGCAAAUUCUGCUUCGUGCCGCUAAACUGGACCACGAAUCUGAGAGAAUUUUGGCUCUUGGUAAACCUUAUACAUAUAAUUUUGAAGGUAAUCAACAGGCUUUGGAAAUAUCACAAGUGGACAUUGAAUCAGCUGAUGUGGUAACAUUGGUUAGGCAGAAUCAAUCAUUGCUUUGUCACUUUGUAAUUCAGCAAUUAAGAAGGGAACAACAAUCAUCACAUGAAAUCCUCCUACAGAGUCUCCUCUUUCUACUGCAUUCUGCAACUGAGUUAUCCUGUUCUGCAGAGGAUGUUAUUGAUAUUAUACUGCAGUCAGCUGAAAAUCUUAGUGGACAACUUACAACUUUGUACACCCAACUGAAAGCAGGAAACAUACAGCUUGAAAUGGAAAAGUUACAUGGGCUGCGAAGGCGCUGGGCACUUCUUGAAAGAUUGGUAAUAGCAUCUUCUGGAAAUGAUGAAGGGACAAAUCCCAUUGGCAUCAAAAGUGCUGGUUUCAUCUACAGAACUUUAGUUCCACCUUCAUCGUGGAUGCAGAAAAUAUCCAGAUUUUCGAGUUGCACAUGUCCACUUUCUAGAUUUUUAGGAUGGAUGGGAGUAUCUCGAUAUGCAAAGCAAUACUUGAAGGAACACUUGUUUAUUGCCUCUGAUCUUUCACAAAUUUCAUCAUUGUUAUCAAUUUUUGUGGAUGAGUUAGCACUUACAGAUAAUUUAGUAAAAAAGAAAAUUGAAUCUGCAUAUUCAGAUCCAUCGGGUACCAAAACACACUCCCAAGUUGAUAAAGAAUUUGAGUCUUCUAAUCAGUCAGAUGCUAAACUAUCAUUUCAAAUACUUUUUCCUCACCUGCAUAUGUUCUUCCCAAACAUGAGAAAGCAGUUUGGUGAGUCUGGAGAGAUAAUUUUGGAAGCUGUUGGUAUGCAACUAAAAUCUCUUCCAUGCAGUGCUGUUCCAGAUAUCCUCUGCUGGUUUGCUGACCUUUGUUUGUGGCCAUAUCUAGAAACAAUAAGGAACCAUCUUCAUGUUACAAAAAAUGCUAAUCCUUUGAGAGGUCAUAUCGCUAGAAAUGCUAAGGCAGUUAUUUUUUACGUGCUUGAAUCGAUUACUGUUGAGCACAUGGAAGCAUUGGUUAAUGAAAUGCCGAGGGUAGCUCACAUCUUGAUAUCUCUUUGUAGAGCCUCCUUUUGUGAUGUUGCUUUCCUGAAUUCUAUUCUAUCUCUGUUAGGACCAAUAAUUUCUUACUCUUUGCGGAAGGCAAGUGAUGAUGAGAAGCACUUGUCUGAUGCAUCACUUCAUCAGGACUUUCAUUUGUCAAAUUUUGAAGAACUAUUUGACAGUAUAAGGUGUGAAAAGGAGCUGAAUGAGGUUACUGAAGAGAAGAAAUUCCAGGGAUCAUUGAUGAUUUGCAUUUUAGGUCAUCUGUUUCCUGAUCUGUCCUUCAGGAGGAAGAAAGAAGUUUUAGAAUCCUUGUUGUUGUGGGUUGAUUUUACCACUUCAGCACCCAUAUCUUCUAUCUAUGAUUACCUCAGUGCAUUCCAGAAACUCAUUAACAGCUGUCUCAUUGUAGUAGUGCAGGGUCUAAAGUCAUUUGGUGUCAAUCUGCCACUUGAGAGAAAACAGUCAACUGCAGGUGGUCCCAACUUAAGCAUUAAUGAUGGCUUAACUUAUCAGUUUGAUUCACCAGAUCUUGCAGAUGGAUAUGUGAACGGGUUGUCUAAAACAUGUGAAAGUGAUGACACCUGCACUGAUCUUUUGGGUGAAGGGAUUCAUAUUCUGUCUGCUGGUGAAAUUGAAGAACUCGUGGAUCGACUUGGAAAGUUAAUUUCUGGUCUUCUUCCAGCUAUUGAAGCCAGCUGGAACAUGCAUUAUAAGUUGGGAAUGAGGCUCACUUGUACAUUAGCAAACUGCUUAUUUUUCUCAAGAUGCUUAAGUGUUGUCAUUCAAGCAAGUACCAGAGAUGGGGAUGGCCAAGACACACACCAAUCUGAUUCAAGUGACCUUCCAUCAAGAUACUGGGUGAAUGCUCUUGAAGGACUUGUGGGAGCUAUAUCAUCAAGUCAAAAAAAUCAUUGUUGGCAAGUAGCAUCUGCUAUGCUUGAUUUUCUGUUCAAGUUGCCUGAGAACAUUACUUUCUCCUCUGUGGUUUCUUCUCUAUGUUCUAUGAUCUUGAUCUUCUGUUGUAAUGCACCAAAAAUUUCAUGGCGUUUGCAGACUGAUAAAUGGUUAUCAUCAUUAUUUGAAAGGGGCAUUGAUAACCUUAGUGGUAAUGAGGCUUCAUUGGUGGACUUAUUCUGCACAAUGUUGGGUCAUUCAGAACCAGAACAACGAUCUGUUGCAUUGCGUCAUCUUGGGAGAAUUGUUGACCUAGGCAGCUACAAUGGUGUGAAUGAACUGCCUUACUCGGUUAAACAAAAUUUGGUUUGCUCUCGAUCUGUAGGGAUUGUUCCUGAAUCAGUAGCUACCAUUUUAGUUACAAAGACAUGGGAUAGAGUGAUAGUAGUAGCAUCCUCUGACCCUUCAAUGUUGUUGCGAACACAUGCAAUGGUGUUGUUACUAGCCUUUGUCCCAUAUGCAGAGAGAGCUCAACUGCAAUCCUUCCUGGUAUGCACUCAUACCAUCCUUCGAGGAAUGGGCAAAGUUACCAAUUCAAUGGAAGUGGGUCAUUUAACAAGACUCUCAUUGCACAUUCUGGCAAGUGCAUGUCUUUAUUCUCCUGCUGAGGAUAUUACUUUGAUACCUGAAAGUGUUUGGAGGAACUUGGAGCAGAUGGGAAUGUCAAAGAUAGGCGUGCUUAAUGACUUGGAGAAAAAUUUGUGCCUAUCUUUGUGCAAACUUAGAAAUGAAUUUGAUGGCGCAAAACCGGUUCUGAAAGAAGUGCUAUCAUCCAGCUCGAUGGGGAAGCCAAGUGAUCCUAACUUUCAAAGCAUUCGGGAGACAAUUCUUCAGGUCUUGUCUUCUCUGACUUCCAUUCAAUCCUACUUUGAGUUUUUCUCAGAGAGAAUUGAUCAGCAGUCUCAGGAACUUGAAGAAGCUGAGAUCGAAAUGGAGCUUCUUAGGGAAGAGGCAGUAUUUGAAGAAGCAUCUGGGUUUCUGCUAGAAGAAGCAGUUCCAUCUCUAACUAUAUCAAGUGAUAAGGAGAUUAACCGGCUUCAUCAAAUUAAGGAUGAAAUUAGAUCCUUAGAGAGGUCUAAACUUCGAGAAGAAAUAGUAGCACGCAGGCAAAAGAAGCUUUUAAUGAGGCAUGCUCGUAAAAAAUGCUUAGAAGAGGCAGCUUUGAGGGAAAUGGAACUUCUUCAGGAGCUUGACGGGGAAAGGACCAGUGAACUAGAGCAUGAUAUUGAGAGACAACGGGAGUUGGAAAAUGAACGUGCAAGAACUAGGGAACUACAAUUCAACCUUGAUAUGGAAAAGGAAAGACAGAUACAGAAAGAACUUCAAAGGGAAUUGGAGCAGGUUGAAUCUGGAACUCGAUCUUUUCGUAGAGAGUUUUCAUCUAAUCCCAGCAGUCGCUCUAGGGAAAGAUACCGUGACAGAGAUAACGGGAGGUCGGGACAAGAGGCGAACUUAAGGUCAAGCAGCAGAGGCCAUGAUGGUGGUGCUCCACAGAUGACGACCACUAUUUCCACUGGAUCAUCUGCGGGGCCAACUGUAGUGCUUGCUGGGUCAAGAUCAUUCUCAGGUCAGCUUCCAACAAUUUUGCAAUCAAGGGACCGUGCAGAUGAACGUACCUCCAACUAUGAAGAUGCUAUCGAGGGAAGCAGGGAUUCGGGUGAUACAAGUAGCAUCGGUGACUCAGAAUCGGGUUCAGCAUUUGAUGGUUUACCUGGUACCUUUGGGACAGCUCCCAGGCAUGGAUCCCGGGGCAGCAAGUCAAGGCAAAUCGUUGAGCGGAGAGAAAGAGAUGGUAGACGAGAAGGUAAAUGGGAAAGAAAGCAUUCUUGAAGAAUUAUCGUACAAAAUAAUCACCUAGGGAUAUCCUAGAGAAGAAAAAUGGCCUACAAGUAUUGAGAAUUCAACAUCAGAGAACACUUCCUGAUAUUCUAUCGAAGCAUUUGAUGAGAAAUGUGUGUGAUCAUGGAAGAACAGAAACAGCCGUAUUCCUAGUGUGUUCAUUCUCACUCUCGUAAUUGAUUCAAUUCGCAGGUGAUCAGGCAUACUAGUCAAUAGUUACGGGGAAAAGUCAAUAGAGGUGUGGAGAUUCUCCGCCGCCUCCGCCGCUCUCUGCCUCUUCUGAUGGUUCGUCUGAGCAUCAUCUCCAUCAACUCUCACCCUCCCCUCCCGAUCCUGUAUGACUCUUUUUAUCUUUUUCUCUUUUGCAGCCAAAAAAAUUGGUUAGUGAUGGCUCUUAUCUAAAACUAGCAAACACAAAGAACCGCACAAGAUAGCAAUGAAACUGCUGUGAUGCAAGUUUUUGUUGAGACAUUCCAUGAUUAGUGCAUUGUUACAGUUUGAGUUCAUGUGUCAGCAUCUUAUACAUCUUUUAAUAUAAUAUUUUUAUUUGGAUGA